UGCGCCUCCAGCACCAGCGCCGCACUGCUCCACUCCCUCCGCCCGCCGCCGCCGUCCCACACCCACUGUACACAACUACCGGCUACACGAGCAGCUCUACAAUACACAGACACACAACACUACACGAUGACAUAAAAAGGGAUUACGUAUUAUGGCUAAAAUUAUGAUAUGCCACUGAAAGCAACACAGACACAUGCGUAUAAGCAAAUCUCUACACGUCUGUCUGUCUGCGUGUCCAAGAGGUUAAUGCAUAUGCAGGGUACAUCUAAUACAACAAUAGUACUGGAACGUUGAUAUCUUUUUGUGCCUUAUGUUGUGCUUCACUUAUCCACCGUGUGGUGGUCUGAGUGGCCGGCAGCGCUGCGCUGAGCGUGGAGGGGGGGAAGCGACCCACAGGCUUACUCCUCACACUCUUGUGAUGCAAGUUGUGUGUGGAUCUUGUUCAUCUCACAUUGGUGAGUGUGUGUCUAUCACUGCAUUCACUUCUUCAGAAAUGAUAGCUGCUGACCAGGCUGUGCUCUAAAUCAUGUUUCUGUGUGCCAUGAAAGAAGAGAAAAUAUUCGUGAUUGUUUAAUUUUUGCAAGCAAUUUUUAUCUAACUUUUGGUCAUGUGCACACAACAUGUAAUGCUGAACCCAGGGCAGGACAAGCCAGGGAAUCACGCCCCACCACUCAGCCACUCAGACAUGUGCUGUUUGGACACCCAGAGAGACAAGGCUGGGAGUGGGCGAGGUGCGUGGGAGCGCCGGUGCUCGGGGCGACGUUAAACAAAUCAGUGAGAGAGAACAGCGUCGACGGUGAACAUUCGGUAAGAGACACAUGUGACAUUGCAGCCGGUGUAGUAGGUGCCUAUAAUGCCUGCGCCACCUCAUAAGAAACACGGAAAAUAAGUCGUUACCCGAAAGAAACGCCAGGACGCAGCUCUCGCCACGUCCUGCGGGAUUCAAAGUAAGAGCCGUGUGCAGACGUGUCAGGACUGCCGUGAUCCUUCUGGUAACUGAGGAGGAAACAUAGGCACACAGUAGUCCCCCAACCACUGUGUCAAGCAACCAGGAGCGACAGGGAGGCUGGCCAGGCACUACAACAGACUGGUGCUCCGAGGAAGUCACUAAACAGUCAGGGCAAUGUACUUAGGAAAUUAUUGUGAUGCUUGGAAUCAUGUUGGUGUUAUUUGUAUUUGUUACCAUUCUGCUCUGUCACUGUUAACUUGUACCCAUUACUUCAUGCAAAUUCAUCAAAAAAGUAAUAUGCAAAACUUAAUUUCUGUUAUUGUUUUAAUAUGAAAUUAUUUUGUGCAAUUACUGUAAUUUUCAUCAUUAAUUCAUGGAAAUUCAUGAAAGAACUAAAAUUAUGAUGUAUAUUCCAUUUAUAUCAUGUUAUUUUGUGCAAUUGUGGUAACUUGUAUCCAAAAAUUGAUGUUAAUUGAUUAAGGAAAGUAUGCCAAAAUGUUUAUAUUGCAGUCAGUCAUCCAUAUCACCACUGUAACAAAAUAAAAUCAUAAAAGCUUCAAA